rnacentral:rRNA from 1 species
GAACGCUAGCUACAGGCUUAACACAUGCAAGUCGAGGGGCAGCAUGGUCUUAGCUUGCUAAGGCCGAUGGCGACCGGCGCACGGGUGAGUAACACGUAUCCAACCUGCCGUCUACUCUUGGACAGCCUUCUGAAAGGAAGAUUAAUACGAGAUGGCAUCAUGAGUCCGCAUGUUCACAUGAUUAAAGGUAUUCCGGUAGACGAUGGGGAUGCGUUCCAUUAGAUAGUAGGCGGGGUAACGGCCCACCUAGUCUUCGAUGGAUAGGGGUUCUGAGAGGAAGGUCCCCCACAUUGGAACUGAGACACGGUCCAAACUCCUACGGGAGGCAGCAGUGAGGAAUAUUGGUCAAUGGGCGAGAGCCUGAACCAGCCAAGUAGCGUGAAGGAUGACUGCCCUAUGGGUUGUAAACUUCUUUUAUAAAGGAAUAAAGUCGGGUAUGCAUACCCGUUUGCAUGUACUUUAUGAAUAAGGAUCGGCUAACUCCGUGCCAGCAGCCGCGGUAAUACGGAGGAUCCGAGCGUUAUCCGGAUUUAUUGGGUUUAAAGGGAGCGUAGAUGGAUGUUUAAGUCAGUUGUGAAAGUUUGCGGCUCAACCGUAAAAUUGCAGUUGAUACUGGAUAUCUUGAGUGCAGUUGAGGCAGGCGGAAUUCGUGGUGUAGCGGUGAAAUGCUUAGAUAUCACGAAGAACUCCGAUUGCGAAGGGCAGCCUGCUAAGCUGCAACUGACAUUGAGGCUCGAAAGUGUGGGUAUCAAACAGGAUUAGAUACCCUGGUAGUCCACACGGUAAACGAUGAAUACUCGCUGUUUGCGAUAUACAGCAAGCGGCCAAGCGAAAGCGUUAAGUAUUCCACCUGGGGAGUACGCCGGCAACGGUGAAACUCAAAGGAAUUGACGGGGGCCCGCACAAGCGGAGGAACAUGUGGUUUAAUUCGAUGAUACGCGAGGAACCUUACCCGGGCUUAAAUUGCAGAUGAAUUACGGUGAAAGCCGUAAGCCGCAAGGCAUCUGUGAAGGUGCUGCAUGGUUGUCGUCAGCUCGUGCCGUGAGGUGUCGGCUUAAGUGCCAUAACGAGCGCAACCCUUGUUGUCAGUUACUAACAGGUUCCGCUGAGGACUCUGACAAGACUGCCAUCGUAAGAUGUGAGGAAGGUGGGGAUGACGUCAAAUCAGCACGGCCCUUACGUCCGGGGCUACACACGUGUUACAAUGGGGGGGUACAGAGGGCCGCUACCACGCGAGUGGAUGCCAAUCCCAAAAACCUCUCUCAGUUCGGACUGGAGUCUGCAACCCGACUCCACGAAGCUGGAUUCGCUAGUAAUCGCGCAUCAGCCACGGCGCGGUGAAUACGUUCCCGGGCCUUGUACACACCGCCCGUCAAGCCAUGGGAGCCGGGGGUACCUGAAGUGCGUAACCGCGAGGAGCGCCCUAGGGUAAAACUGA